rnacentral:rRNA from 1 species
UACGAAGGGGGCUAGCGUUAUCCGGAUUCACUGGGUUUAAAGGGUGCGUAGGCGGUCGGGUAAGUCUGAUGUGAAAUCUCACAGCUUAACUGUGAAACUGCAUUGGAUACUAUCCGGCUAGAGGAAUGGGGGGGAGACUGGAAUACUUGGUGUAGCAGUGAAAUGCGUAGAUAUCAAGUGGAACACCAGUGGCGAAGGCGAGUCUCUGGACAUUUCCUGACGCUGAGGCACGAAAGCCAGGGGAGCAAACGGG